rnacentral:misc_RNA from 1 species
UUCGAUCCUGGUCGAUUGAACGCUGGCGGGAUGUUUUACACAUGCAAGUCGAACGGCAGCAUGGACUUCGGUCCGGUGGCGAGUGGCGAACGGGUGAGUAAUGUAUCGAAUUAGUAGCGGGGGAUAACUACGCGAAAGCGUAGCUAAUACCGCAUACGCCCUUCGGGGGAAAGCGGGGGACCUUCGGGCCUCGCACUAUUAGAGCGGCCGAUAUCGGAUUAGCUAGUUGGUGGGGUAACGGCUCACCAAGGCGACGAUCCGUAGCUGGUUUGAGAGGACGACCAGCCACACUGGGACUGAGACACGGCCCAGACUCCUACGGAGGCAGCAGUGGGGAAUUUGGACAAUGGGAAACUCCUGAUCCAGCCAUCCCGCGUGUGCGAUGAAGGCCUUCGGGUUGUAAAGCACUUUUGGCAGGAAGAAACGGCGGCACGGGAUAAUACCCGUGCAACUGACGGUACCUGCAGAAUAAGCACCGGCUAACUACGUGCCAGCAGCCGCGGUAAUGUAGGGUGCAAGCGUUAAUCGGAAUUACUGGGCGUAAAGCGUGCGCAGGCGGUUCGGAAAGAAAGAUGUGAAAUCCCAGAGCUUAACUUUGGAACUGCAUUUUUAACUACCGAGCUAGAGUGUGAGGGAGGUGGAAUUCCGCGUGUAGCAGUGAAAUGCGUAGAUAUGCGGAGGAACACCGAUGGCGAAGGCAGCCUCCUGGGAUAACACUGACGCUCAUGCACGAAAGCGUGGGGAGCAAAAAUGAUUAGAUACCCCAGGUCCACGCCCUAAAACGAUGUCAACUAGCUGUUGGGGCCUUCGGGCCUUGGUAGCGCAGCUAACGCGUGAAGUUGACCGCCUGGGGAGUACGGUCGCAGGAUUAAACUCAAAGGAAUUGACGGGGACCCGCACAAGCGGUGGAUGAUGUGGAUUAAUUCGAUGCAACGCGAAAAACCUUUACCUACCCUUGACAUGUCUGGAACUUGAGAUUUGGCGUCGCCAAAAGAGAACCGAAACGAGGUAGCGCCGCAAAACAUAUUGCCGUCAGCUCGUGUCGUGAGAUGUUGAAGUGAGUCCCAACGAUAAACUUUGUUGCUGAAAGCUGGCUACGCCAGCA